UACGUAGGUGCAAGGCGUUAAUCGGAAUUACUGGGCGUAAAGCGUGCGCAGGCGGCUUUGCAAGACAGAUGUGAAAUCCCCGGGCUCAACCCUGGGAACUGGCAUUUGUGACUGCAAGGCUAGAGUGCGGCAGAGGGGGAUGGAAUUCCGCGUGUAGCAGUGAAAUGCGUAGAUAUGCGGAGGAACACCGAUGGCGAAGGCAAUCCCCUGGGCCUGCACUGACGCUCAUGCACGAAAGCGUGGGGAGCAAACAGG
rnacentral:rRNA from 1 species